UAUCCGUGCUGAGAUUUCGUCACAUACCAGACCACAAGGGCUGAUGAGACUUCCAAGAUAAGUGAAGCU
rnacentral:pre_miRNA from 1 species